UACGUAGGCAGCGAGCGUUGUUCGGAGUUACUGGGCGUAAAGCGUGCGUAGGCGGUGUCUUAAGUUUGUUGUGAAAUCUCCCGGCUUAACCGGGAGGGUGCGGCGAAUACUGAGAUGCUGGAGUGCCGGAGAGGUAAGCGGAAUUCCUGGUGUAGCGGUGAAAUGCGUAGAGAUUUGGAGGAACACCAGUGGCGAAGGCGGCUUUCUGGUCUGUAACUGACACUGAGGCGCGAAAGCGUGGGGAGCGAACAGG
rnacentral:rRNA from 1 species